rnacentral:lncRNA from 1 species
CUACAAUGGCCUGUCUGUUUUCUGCGCCAACGUUUGGCGGGUAGCCAAUCCACACGGAAGUGUCGUGGUUUACAUGGGCCCAGACGUGCAACGUUUUGUGUCAGUGUUUGGUUGUAUGGGCGGAGUACCGGGGGCGACUUCAUGGGCCAUGCCCCGCCCAACGGAGAGCUCGAUGGAUUAAGGCAUAGAUUGCAUAUGGCGAACAUAUUCUUCUCGGCAGACAUCUGCAUUUUCAUUUGUUUUCAAUGUAGCUCGUGGUACUGAGUUUAGCGGUUUAUCAGAGAUUUGUCAUUGUUUCCACCCGAACCUAUUCAUGCAUACGAGUGUUGUGGGAUAAACUGGACGGACUGUCGAUAAAGUGUGGUGGGAAAACAGUGGGACCUCGGCAGCUGACUUGACUGGGUAAUGCAGUCGUGGCCCUGAGUGCUUGCCUCCGGUAGUAGUAGUAGUGCCAGAGUACGGUAACCAGGUGUGCAAGGUUUUCCACUCCAUGUCGUGGGAUCGAAUCUAAUACACACAUGAGGCACUUGUAAGCGGUCCUC